rnacentral:rRNA from 1 species
GACGAACGCUGGCGGCGUGCUUAACACAUGCAAGUCGAGCGAGGUCCAUCCAGUGGCAACACUGGGGAAGACCUAGCGGCGAACGGGUGAGUAACACGUGAGCAACCUGCCCCGAAGACUGGGAUAACACCGGGAAACCGGUGCUAAUACCGGAUGUCCUCCUCUGGUCGCAUGGCCUAGGGAGGAAAGGAAUUUUGCGUUCGGGAGGGGCUCGCGGGCUAUCAGCUUGUUGGUGAGGAACGGCUCACCAAGGCGACGACGGCUAGCUGGUCUGAGAGGACGACCAGCCACACUGGGACUGAGACACGGCCAGACUCCUACGGGAGGCAGCAGUGGGGAAUCUUGCGCAAUGGGCGAAAGCCUGACGCAGCAAC